UUGAAGUGAUGUGACUGGCGUAUCUAUACUUGCUACUACCACAUUGCAGACUAUAAUGUAUUUUAAAAAUCUACAGUAUUCGAAGAUAACGCGUUAACAUCUGUACCGUGACAUCAAUGAGCAUUUUUAUAAGACUCCAACAUGUGAUUGAUGUGCCAGUUUACAACACUUCAAGUUCCUCUUUCAGCUGGUUCUGACCUAUUAUGCGACCAUUCUCGGGAAAUCCCGCAGGGUUACGGCACCUCUGAUGACGUAACUUCCGCUUCAGCCGCCUCUGAUGACAUCACUUUCCGGUGUGCCUCUGAUGAUGCCACUCCUGGUUCCGC